CAGUUAAAAUUUUGCAUUUUGGGUAAAGAGAAUAAUUUUUAGUGUAAGUAUGUCCCAUGUAAUAUUUGGGACAUACUUAUACAAAAACAUUUUUCAUGGUUAU
rnacentral:miRNA from 1 species